rnacentral:rRNA from 1 species
AGUGAACGCUGGCGGUAGGCCUAACACAUGCAAGUCGAACGGCAGCACAGUAAGAGCUUGCUCUUACGGGUGGCGAGUGGCGGACGGGUGAGGAAUACAUCGGAAUCUACUUUUUCGUGGGGGAUAACGUAGGGAAACUUACGCUAAUACCGCAUACGACCUACGGGUGAAAGCAGGGGAUCUUCGCACCUUUCGCGACUGAAUGAGCUGAUGUCGGAUUAGCUAGUUGGCGGGGUAAAGGCCCACCAAGGCGACGAUCCGUAGCUGGUCUGAGAGGAUGAUCAGCCACACUGGAACUGAGACACGGUCCAGACUCCUACGGGAGGCAGCAGUAGGGAAUAUUGGGCAAUGGGCGCAAGCCUGAUCCAGCCAUGCCGCGUGGGUGAAGAAGGCCUUCGGGUUGUAAAGCCCUUUUGUUGGGAAAGAAAAGCAGCAGGUUAAUACCCCGCUGUUCUGACGGUACCCAAAGAAUAAGCACCGGCUAACUUCGUG